AGCAGUGUGGGCCAAGUGGAAAGAGCACUGGCCUGAUGAGUCAGAAGAUCUAGGUUCUAAUCCUGGCUCUGUCA
rnacentral:tRNA from 1 species